rnacentral:rRNA from 1 species
CUACGGGGGGCAGCAGUGAGGAAUAUUCCGCAAUGGGCGAAAGCCUGACGGAGCGACGCCGUGUGUGGGAUGAAGUCCUUCGGGAUGUAAACCACUGUCAGAGGGGAAGAUAUUGACGGUACCCUCAGAGGAAGCCCCGGCUAACUACGUGCCAGCAGCCGCGGUAAUACGUAGGGGGCAAGCGUUGUCCGGAAUCACUGGGCGUAAAGGGCGUGCAGGCGGUCCGGUAAGUCGGGCGUUAAAUGUACAGGCUCAACCUGUAUCCGCGUUCGAUGCUGCCGGACUCGAGAGUGGUAGAGGAAAGCGGAACUUCCGGUGUAGGGGUGAAAUGCGUAGAUAUCGGAAGGAACACCAGUGGCGAAGGCGGCUUUCUGGGCCACUUCUGACGCUGAGACGCGAAAGCCAGGGGAGCAAACGGGAUUAGAUACCCCAGUAGUC